AGAGUUUGAUCAUGGCUCAGGAUGAACGCUGGCGGCGUGCUUAACACAUGCAAGUCGAACGGAAAGGCCAGUGCUUGCGCUGGUACUCGAGUGGCGAACGGGUGAGUAACACGUGGGUGAUCUGCCCUGCACUUCGGGAUAAGCUUGGGAAACUGGGUCUAAUACCGGAUAGGACCAUUGGUUGGUGCCUUUGGUGGAAAGUUUUUUCGGUGUGGGAUGAGCUCGCGGCCUAUCAGCUUGUUGGUGGGGUAAUGGCCUACCAAGGCGUCGACGGGUAGCCGGCCUGAGAGGGUGUACGGCCACAUUGGGACUGAGACACGGCCCAGACUCCUACGGGAGGCAGCAGUGGGGAAUCUUGCGCAAUGGGCGAAAGCCUGACGCAGCAACGCCGCGUGGGGGAUGAAGGCUCUCGGGUUGUAAACCCCUUUCAGCAGGGACGAAUCAAGACGGUACCUGCAGAAGAAGCCCCGGCUAACUACGUG
rnacentral:rRNA from 1 species